rfam:Ovis aries breed Texel chromosome 7, whole genome shotgun sequence.
UCCCUGGUGGUCCAGUGGUUAAGAUUCAGCAUUUUCAGUGCUGGGGCCCGGGUUUGAUCCCUGGUCAGGGAA